AACAUGAGUUGUUCUUAUUAGCUGUCAAUCACAACCUGUGAUCUGAUCUGUCCAGCAGAGGGGAAAAGAUUUAAACUGAAAUAAAGUUCACCUGAUACACUUUGAAGAAACCAAAUGCUAGAAAUGUUCAGAUGUUUCUUCAAUGUAGCAUUAAAUUAGAUGGAGAGCAGACAUGUCUCUUUCUGCACUGUUGAGGGAAAUGUGCAUUAGUGUGAUCUCUGCUGAUGUUGGUUCUGUCCCAGUGAUUCCAUUCUAGGGAAAGUUAACUGUCAGGGAUUUACAGCCUGAUGGGAGUUUCUGCUUUCAUGAACCACAGGGUUUGUAGAAGUUGUGUUGGAUGUUGAGAGACAUGAAAAAGGUUGAAUGUUAAAAUAAUCCGUCACAUGAAAUGAGUGGGAAUCAGCCUGUAAAAUGUGCUCUUAUUGUGAAACUCUGCCUGCUGCUUCCUCAUGGUGGAGUCCUGACUGGUUCCAGGAAACAGAUCACCUGUCUGAGCGUCCAUAUCACAAGGAUGGGUGUAAAGCUAACUGCUAGGCUAGCGCUCACAGUUAGCCUCCCUUAUCAGUCUGAACGUGGCUGUCGAGCACACCAGCUCAUGUGAUUUUUUGGGGGGGGAUUUUUUUUAUUCAAACAGAGUCGUAACCUGCAUGGUCAGAAAAUAAAAGUGAUCCAGAGAACAGACCUGGUCCUGAGAAUCACUUUAUUUCACAAAACACAACACAGGAGACAUGAUGACAUCAGAGGUGCUCUUGAACAUCCUGGAUGAUCUGGAUGAUGAUCAGCUGUCUAUAUUCCAGUGGUUCCUGCAGAAACCCAACAAUGUUCAAGGCCUCCCAGCCAUCACAAAGAGCCGACUACAGACACUAGACAGGUGUAAAACUGUGGAUGUGAUGGUGGAGACUUAUGGACUUCAGAGAGCUGUGCAGGUGACCAGGGUGGUUUUAGAGAAGAUCUCCAGGAAUGAUCUGCUGCAGAGGUUUCCUGCCAGCAGCUCAGGACCAGAAGGUCAGUCACAAGACAAGAACAACAUGAUAUCAUUACAGUCAGAAAGAUGCAUGAUGGUGCUGCUACAGUUUGAUAGAGUUCAGGUUCUGUCAGUUUUUCCUGAGUCCACAUGUAAGGUCAGUUCCUCUGUAAAAUCUACUGAUCAACCUACUGACUGAAUGCUGCCCCCUGCUGUUUAAACCUUGAUAGAACACCAAAAUUAGUUCUGUAUGAGCUG